rnacentral:rRNA from 1 species
UACGUAGGGUGCAAGCGUUGUCCGGAAUUAUUGGGCGUAAAGAGCUCGUAGGCGGUCUGUCGCGUCGGCUGUGAAAACUCGGGGCUCAACCCCGAGCCUGCAGUCGAUACGGGCAGACUAGAGUGCGGUAGGGGAGACUGGAAUUCCUGGUGUAGCGGUGAAAUGCGCAGAUAUCUGGAGGAAUACCGGUGGCGAAGGCGGCAUCCUGGACCGGCAUUGACGCUGAGGAGCGAAAGCCAGGGGAGCAAACGGG